CCAAAUAUUUUUCGCGAAAUUACUAUGACGUUUGACAAAGGCCUACGAAGUAACACACAAUAUUCCAACAAUAAACGGAAGCUGUAGACGUAAGAAGAAAAAGGACCUAUGGAAAGAAGCCAGGAGACAUAGAUGACAAAAUUUUAAAGCCACAUAAAAGAAGAAAAUGAUAUAAGGACGUUUUGAGUUCGGGAUUGUAUAGAGAGAGACAGUUUUAUGUCGUAGGAUAUUAAGUAGGGAUGUCGCAACAUGCGGGUGUUCCUCUGCCCUUACAGUCAUCUAGCAGUUUAGCCAGCCUGUGCCAGGUGGCACUUGAAAAGUUGCUGCUGCAGGCAUUUUGCUUACUCGGCAAGUUGGAGGCCAAAUCAAAGCCCAUGCGCCAUGUACCGGAGAAUGGGGUGGUGUCCUUCCUGUGCCAGAAAGAGCGUGAUGCACCACUCGCUGAAAUUCAGGCAUACCUGUCAUCCAAAAUGCCUACCAGCUGCAGACAGGGAAUGGACAACAAUAUGUUAAAUACACUUGCAACUCCAAGAUUUGACAAGAACUCAUUGAUAAGUAACACUGAGUUUAAAUUCCAAAUCCUGAAUAUAGUUGUAGGUGCUUCUGAAAUGAAGCAGGUAUUAAAGAAGCUCUUCCAAUGUAUGUUGUUAGGAUAUGUGACUAGUCUAGACUGUAGUGGCUUUUGUAGUUAUGGGAGUUACUGGGUUGUUAGAGCAAAGAGAAUCCUAUAUACAUGGGAUAAGAUACAUGGAGGAGGGGAAUACAUUGAGGGCAUUGAGUCAGGCAAAGUGUGUACAGUUCAGCUAGAGUCAUUAUGGCAUGACAUGGUGCAUGAGUACAAAACAGUUGCAAAUACAGCUGCAGUUAAUUCAGCUAAGUAUUUUCACCAGUCGACAAGAAUCAACAUUGACUAUUUUUGCAAGUGGUGAACUUAUAUGGGCAAUAGGAUGCAACUGUCCUGUCUUACAGGAACUGAGUAUAUAUGUAGACACAUCAGACAGAAGAAAAUACUCAGCUCACUUUGAAGAAAAAUUUUUAGAUGGAUUAUCUGCAUUGUAUGGGCAUAGAAAGUAUACUCAGACAUCUUUUCGAGGAAAACCAGUUGGAUGCCCUCAGAUUCGAAGUAUAAUUAUGCCAACACUUCAGAUUCAAGAAAAAAUGGAGGAAUGCUCAGGCAAACUACUCUGUUACUUACACCAUCUUGAAGUAUUAAGAAAUGUUGGGACAACAGGUUCUAUUGUAGCCAUGUUUAAAGAGAAAGACUACAUUUGCAGACCACUAUCACUAACUUAUGUGGAUGAUGCUCGAGCACCAGAGACUUUAGAUUUAGUGUGCAGACAUUUUGGUGUUGAUAUAAAAAAACUUUUAUCCAACGUUACCAGUGUUAGAUUUUGGAAGACUCAUUGUGGAAUGAGACUUUUGCUUAAUUUCCCUCUGUUGAAAGAAUUAGAACUAUUGACAAUAGAAGAUGCUGAGCUAGAGUUUGGCAAUAACUUUGCCAAACUAACGCAUUUCAGAGGCAACUUUCGCUGGGCUGAGAAGAGACUGGCAGAUUUCUCUCGGAAAGUUCCUCGCUUAGAAACAAUAUUCUUCCUGUGUGGCUCCUUGUUUAAACGUAAGACCAAGAAGACCAGAGAGAUAAAGUCAUUCCCUAAGGCACGUGUUGUUAAAUUCUACCAGCUAACACACAUUGAAUCUGAUCCUGUCAUUAACUUCUUGAAGAGCACCAAAGUCCUCACUCACUUAUUCUUUGAAGAUAAUGAUAAGAGAAUCAGAGAUAAAAAAAAACUCCUAUAUUUGAGGCAAUAAACGACAAAGCCAUUGCCUCUGUUGCCCUUUCCCUGAAGAACUUGGUUUGCUUUCAUGCCCACGUUCGAGGAUUCCGCGGGGUUUGUAAGUUUUCCCUGACUGAAAAGAGUGUCCACAGUCUUCUUGCCAAUUGUCAAAAUUUGACUGAUUUGGGAAAUUUAUUUAUCUGGGAGAUUCCUUACCAAAAUGUUCUGGCCCUAAAGAAACAGGCAAAGGAGGGGAACUGGGAAAUAGGUUUUACACCACAUGAUGAUGUGUAGAUUGAUAUGCAAGGAAAUCAUUGAAUUUUAAAACAACAUUCUAAUUGUAGAUUAUUCAGCACAUAUAAGUACUUGACACAAUAAUUUAAUUAAGCCACUUAAGCCUCAGGUUUAUCAAUUUGACUCGUCCCAAGUCCCUAAGCAUAACUGGCUGCACAACUUUCCUUUUGGGUACAUUAUGAUUAGACUACCUUGGGCUACAGGCUUCAAAAUGUUGUUCAUAUGUUAUAACUGCAGAAUAAUGUUUAACAAAUUUAUUGUAAUAUUAUAACACCUUUUCUCUUUUAUAGGUUUGUAAAGUUAAGGAAAGUCAUUAGUGAAGUGGAUCUUACCAACAGUAUUCUAAAAUACAUAAACUUUAGCCUUUAUAUUUUGGUGAGGUAAGUACUUUAGAACAUCAGUGCAUGUAACUACAGUAGCCAAUGUAUUAUAUUUGUUAUUAUGAGAGAGAGAACUAAUAUUAUAUUAUAUUAUAUAUUGGGUAUGUUUAAGUGUCUUUACAGGAAAUGUAUUAACAGAAACUAUGUGUAUGAUGGAUGUUGGUGUUCUCCUAGCAUAAGCCACUGAUAGGGCUGUUGUGUAAACUUACUCCAGGUAACCAAGUAACUAUCUGGCAUCUAACCAACCAUCCCUGUUCAGUACAUGAUGACAGAAUUUGUGUUUGUUGACUGCAUUGAAUAAGACUGCAAAACUAUACGGCAACUUUAAACCUCUUAUGAAUUGAAUAAUAAAUGUGUGGGACAACAUUUAUUAAUUCUUUUACACAUAGAUGACUCCACUUGUACUUAAAGUGGGCAUGGCAUGUAUGUACAUGCUAUGCCCAUCAACUUUGUUAAAAUUAUAGUUUGUAAAGGGGUACUAAGUACAUUAAGAACUUGUAAUAGAAUAUCUGUUUCAUUUUGAGCUUGUGUAUUUAAUGUCAAAUGUUUUAGCUGUACAAACAAUGAUUUGACGAUGAUCUGCAAGUGAUCUUACAGAAGCAGAUCUGUUGUUAUUAGACAGAAAUAAUUCAGAUAGAUUACAUUAAUUUAAGGCUCAUUUUUGUUUGUAUACAUUUUGUACUUAUAAAUUAAGUAUUAGGAGAUUUUUUACAUUAGUGUGUAAAAAGACUUUGAAGAUGGAAAAGUUUUAUAUAUUUUUACCGAUAUCAGUGAAUGUUACUGUUAAUACUGUGUGCUAUUUGGCUGUGAAUUUAUGCAUAUUUGUGUCCUAAUGUUAAUGAUGCUACAAAUUUCUACUGUUUGCAAUUAUUUUUUCAUAAAAUGAAACAAAUAAAGCUUUUGAUAACU